UACGUAGGGUCCGAGCGUUAAUCGGAAUUACUGGGCGUAAAGCGUGCGCAGGCGGUUCGCAAAGACAGGUGUGAAAUCCCCGGGCUUAACCUGGGAACUGCAUCCGAUACUGGAUGGCUUGAAUCCGGGAGAGGGAUGCGGAAUUCCAGGUGUAGCGGUGAAAUGCGUAGAUAUCUGGAGGAACACCGGUGGCGAAGGCGGCAUCCUGGACCGGCAUUGACGCUGAGGAGCGAAAGCCAGGGGAGCAAACGGG
rnacentral:rRNA from 1 species